CUUGUACUCCUUCUGUCCAAAAAUACUUGUCAUUGAAAUGGAUGUAUCUAGAUGUAUUUUAGUUCUAGACACAUCCAUUUUGAUGACAAGUAAUUCCGGAUGGAGGGAGUACUUG
rnacentral:pre_miRNA from 1 species